UGCUAAGAUCCCUCAAUGUUCCCUGCAGAAUCCACGAGAAAAAGAAUAAAUAACAAAGAUUAAGAGCGACAAAAAUUAGUAACACUAGAAGCCAAAACUAAUCCAAAGCCGUGACUAGGGAAAAAAUUACCUUUCACGAGUUCCUAAUCUAACAAUGGUGCACAUCACACACUCUUCUUCACAACCAAACAGGACAAAAUAAAAAUAAAUGAAAAAUAUACAAAGAUUCAUUCACUCUGUCUAUCCCAAAAAUAUAGUGCAGUUUGAAAAUCCAACCCCAUAGUGAAUUAUAUACAUCCAUGCUAUUGUCACAUUUAAUCCUACAUUUUUCACUUAAGUUGCAACAUAGUAUUACAACACAAAGUUGAAGUGCUCAUUGCUCAAUGACUUCUACACCUGGAUAAAUUAUGAAAAUAUAACCAUUAACACAAGAGAGCAAAAGCAUUAGCUAACAUAUCAAAGCUAGACAAGAUAGUAAAACUACAAAAAUUCAUUUUGCAAAUGACAAAAAAAUGUCACUUUUUCAUGUAAUUUCCACAUAAAAAUGAUAGAGAAAUCAAAAUAGCACUGAAAUCAAGUGGAGAAUCACACAUUAGCUGUCCAUGGGAAUUUGAACAGCACCUUGAACUUACUCGCAUAGAUAAAAGUGCCACACUGCCAGUGAAUGGAGAAGACAAAACAUGAAUUCAUUAAUUUCUUUCAACAAAUAUCUAGGACAAAAAAAAAUUUUUAUAGACUUUUCAAGACGAUCACUCUGCAAUACACUUUGAUAAUCAAAAGAAAUUAACCAAAAAAAAAAAUCUCAUGGGAAAUGAUUAGUGUACAACACAAUGGGACCUUGUUCAAAUAGAAGCCAAACUUGUAAGCAACAGCCAAUGACUAUAGUUACUAAAAAAAACCUUCCCUUAACAGUCCACUAAAAACUACAAAUAUACGAUCCCUGAUGUUUGAUAGUUAAGCUAAUGUAUAUUCUACCCCAUAUUAAUGCAAGGCCAUCUCCAACAGUUAGACACAUAAAAAAUAAUUUGAAGCCAAAAAAAACAACCUUAUUCGCCCACAUCAGGCCAC
rnacentral:misc_RNA from 1 species